rnacentral:rRNA from 1 species
GACGAACUGUCCUAACGUUGUUCGGAAUCACUGGGCUUAAAGGGCGCGUAGGCGGCCUUGUCAGUCAGGCGUGAAAGCCCCGGGCUCAACCUGGGAACGGCGCUUGGGACGGCGAGGCUGGAGUUCGGGAGAGGAGAGUGGAAUUCCCAGUGUAGAGGUGAAAUUCGUAGAUAUUGGGAAGAACACCGGUGGCGAAGGCGGCUCUCUGGACCGACACUGACGCUGAGGCGCGAAAGCGUGGGGAGCAAACAGG